AUCGCUUCUCAGCCUUUUGGCUAAGGUCAAGUGUAGUAUCUGUUCUUAUCAGUUUAAAAUGUUAAUAUUUUGGAUAUGUUGGAAUAAAU
rnacentral:snRNA from 1 species